AUAUCCAGAGCAUGGGACCAGGAGCUGGACUCACGGUGGGAUCUCUGAUCAGUCACAGAAGGAGCUUGACGAGCUCAUGGGGUCUCUCUCCCUAGGUGGAGAAGACAGGGCUCCAAAUGGACUUCCAGUCCCAUCCACGUCACAGAGGCAAAUUGUCAGAGACAAAGACCUAAGCCGGUCCUUUUCCAGGAGUAAAUGACCAUCGUGCGCCCAUGGGAAGAGUGCUGCAUCCACGGAGGACAUGGGCCAACAGUGCUCUCAAAUGGGUUUCAUGAAAGCAUCUGUGACUCAUCCCUGUUCAAGAAUGUUUUCAUUACGAUUCAGCAGAAGCGAUGUGCCAGGUCAGCAAAUACAACUGCAAAACCGGGGCCUGCCAGCCUGGCCAACACAGCAAGACCCCGUCUCUACUAAAAAGUAAAAUUAAAAUUAGCUGAGUA
rnacentral:lncRNA from 1 species